UCCGUAGGUGAACCUGCGGAAGGAUCAUUACUGAGUGCGGGCUGCCUCCGGGCGCCCAACCUCCCACCCGUGAAUACCUAACACUGUUGCUUCGGCGGGGAGCCCCCUCGGGGGCGAGCCGCCGGGGACUACUGAACUUCAUGCCUGAGAGUGAUGCAGUCUGAGUCUGAAUAUAAAAUCAGUCAAAACUUUCAACAAUGGAUCUCUUGGUUCCGGCAUCGAUGAAGAACGCAGCGAACUGCGAUAAGUAAUGCGAAUUGCAGAAUUCAGUGAAUCAUCGAGUCUUUGAACGCACAUUGCGCCCCCUGGCAUUCCGGGGGGCAUGCCUGUCCGAGCGUCAUUGCUGCCCAUCAAGCCCGGCUUGUGUGUUGGGUCGUCGUCCCCCCCGGGGGACGGGCCCGAAAGGCAGCGGCGGCACCGUGUCCGGUCCUCGAGUGUAUGGGGCUUUGUCACCCGCUCGACUAGGGCCGGCCGGGCGCCAGCCGACGUCUCCAACCAUUUUUCUUCAGGUUGACCUCGGAUCAGGUAGGGAUACCCGCUGAACUUAAGCAUAUCAAUAAGCGGAGGA
rnacentral:rRNA from 1 species